rnacentral:rRNA from 1 species
UGAGACAGUUCGGUCCCUAUCUGCCGUGGGUGUAGGAAUAUUGAGAGGAUCUGUCCCUAGUACGAGAGGACCGGGAUGGACGUAUCUCUGGUGGACCUGUUGUGGCGCCAGCCGCAUAGCAGGGUAGCUAUAUACGGAACGGAUAACCGCUGAAGGCAUCUAAGCGGGAAACCGACCUCAAAACGAGUAUUCCCUGAGAGCCGUGGUAGACGACCACGUUGAUAGGCCGGGUGUGGAAGAGCGGCAACGCUUGAAGCUUACCGGUACUAAUAACUCGAUUGGCUUGAUUGUUCUCAUU